ACCCUCAAGCUGACCACACCUAGCUUAGGUGGUGGAAUGAGGACACUCUCCAAGAGAACUUCUUAACACCAGACAUCUGGGUGAUAAAGAAGACCCCUCUUGGAAAAUUGGACCAGGAUAUGUGGGUGUGAUCCAGAAUUUUAUGCCUGUCAGGGCUAACUUGCACCUCCAUCCCUACGCCCCUUUGAUUACAUUUGCAAUUCAAUAUGCAAAUAAGCUGGAUGCUUGGAUGCCCGUGGGAGGUAACUACAUUUCUUCCGUUGCUGAAAAAGCUGAGGUGAAUUCUAUGACAGUGAGGGUUGAUGAUAGGAGCACAA